GAGAGAGAGAGAGAGAGAGAGUUGAGUUGGAAUGCUCUCAGUAGCAGAUAUGCUUCAUUACCACCCAUUUGUUUCGAUGAUAGAGCCUCCAUAUUGUUGACCAGUAUCAUUGAAUAUGAUCUAGACCACUUAAAGUAUUUAAAACUAAAUUUUCAAAUUUUUUCGAUAUCAUUGGCCUAAUGAUUAAAAGGUUUCAAAUUUUCUAAUUUUAAUAAUCGAUAUGAGACAUUUUCUCGUUUAACAAUAUAAGAUAUCCAAAUCGAAUGAAUUUUUGUUAGAAAAUUCAUUAAACCAUUUAAAAUAAGAUCUAUACUCUUAAUUUUGAUUAUAAAACUCCUAUUAUUAUUUUUUAAAAGAUAUUUAUUUUCAGCUGUUUAUUUUUGUAUCUAUUUGAUGGAUAAGAGAACAAUAACGAAAAAGUAUGAAAUUUGAUUUAUAGAUACUUUAACUGGUCUAGAUCAUGUUCAAUAGUGCCGAUCGUCAAUUUGGAGGCUCCAUCAUCGAAAAUAAAUGUGUGGCAACGAAGCCCGUUUGAUACCGAUAGUAUUCCAGCUCAACUAUAUAUAUAUAUAUCGAAAACAACUUAUGAGUACGAUGGCUCCAAUACUCAUAAUAGUAUAGUAGCCAUUGCCUAUAUAUAUAUAUAGAGAGAGAGAGAGAGAGAGAGAGAGAGAGAGUUGAGUUGGAAUGCUCUCAGUAGCAGAUAUGCUUCAUUACCACCCAUUUGUUUCGAUGAUAGAGCCUCCAUAUUGUUGACCAGUAUCAUUGAAUAUGAUCUAGACCACUUAAAGUAUUUAAAACUAAAUUUUCAAAUUUUUUCGAUAUCAUUGGCCUAAUGAUUAAAAGGUUUCAAAUUUUCUAAUUUUAAUAAUCGAUAUGAGACAUUUUCUCGUUUAACAAUAUAAGAUAUCCAAAUCGAAUGAAUUUUUGUUAGAAAAUUCAUUAAACCAUUUAAAAUAAGAUCUAUACUCUUAAUUUUGAUUAUAAAACUCCUAUUAUUAUUUUUUAAAAGAUAUUUAUUUUCAGCUGUUUAUUUUUGUAUCUAUUUGAUGGAUAAGAGAACAAUAACGAAAAAGUAUGAAAUUUGAUUUAUAGAUACUUUAACUGGUCUAGAUCAUGUUCAAUAGUGCCGAUCGUCAAUUUGGAGGCUCCAUCAUCGAAAAUAAAUGUGUGGCAACGAAGCCCGUUUGAUACCGAUAGUAUUCCAGCUCAACUAUAUAUAUAUAUAUCGAAAACAACUUAUGAGUACGAUGGCUCCAAUACUCAUAAUAGUAUAGUAGCCAUUGCCUAUAUAUAUAUAUAGAGAGAGAGAGAGAGAGAGAGAGAGAGAGAGAGAGAGAGAGAGAGAGAGAGAGAGUUCUGCUGUGGUGUUUUUGAAAGCAUCAAGCACCUGGUGCUCGUAAGUUUUUCGUCGUUAGAUCUACCCAUUUUAUAAUUUUUAUUCGUUAUAUCAUACUAUUCAAUCAACCACUUACUUAACUUUGAGUGGACCACUAUCAUUCUAAUCACACAUCUUUUAAUCUAAGGCCAAAAAUCUAUAAGUAUCAAUGACUUGAUAUUUUUAAAAGUAUAGAAGCUUAAUACACACACACAAACUAUCCACUUCUCAUAUGUUUACAUGUCUAAAUAAA
rnacentral:lncRNA from 1 species